rnacentral:lncRNA from 1 species
GUCGAUCCCUCUUAAUUGGCAUUCAGUGCAUCCAGUUUUCAGCUCCUUUGGUGGACUCUCUUGCGAAUGUGUCUGUUUUAACGCUCCUCUUUUUGCUCCUCUUUUUGUGAGAUGCCGUGGAGAGGCCAACGGGACACAUACGAGCAUCAUCUAGUGAGGGUCAUCCCUGAGCAGAGGGAACCUCAGGGAGCUCUGGGCUCUGAGAAUGGAGAAAGGCAGUGCAGGACUGGGCAGGAAGAUACGGCAGGAGUAGGGUCAGGAUAAGGUGAUGUCACAGAUGAGCCUGAGGGUAGUACAGGUGUGUUUGCCCCUCAGCCACAAGAUCCUGGAACCCACAGCAGACAUCAAAGUUCAGGAUGACAAUAAGAUCAGCCUCACAACAGAUCUGACGGGGACAAAUUCAAGAUUUUAGAGGAACACCUAAGGAAAAAGUCAUCAGGCCGUUCGAAGAACAAGACUGGAGUCCCAGAGGGAGGCUACUCUUGAAAUCAUUGACUUGAGAGUUGAGGACUAGUUGCCUCUAUACACCAAGCCUGAUGACCUGAGUUUGACCCCAGGAUCCCACAUGGUAGAAGGAGAGAGUAUAAGUUGUCCUCUGACCUCCACAUGAACGCUAUGACACGCCAACUCCUGACACAUGCCCAAUGAAUAAAUCUAAUUAAAAUGUGUUUAAAAAUGAGAUAUGAAGCUUUGGCGUGGGUGGCAUUGCUGAGAAGGACGUGGCUUGGGGUCUAAGAACAAAGGUUUUGAAAUAGCAAGAUUUGGUCAAGUGUCAAAGAUAGCACUUAUCAACUGUGUAGCCAGUCCCCGGGCCUUAUCUCUCCACCUACAACCCCGGAGGGCACUGACACAACACCAACAGGGCAUCAGUAUGAGGAUUUCUCAGGCAAUACAACUAAGAGCCAAACCAGGUGCCUGGCACACAGGGGGCACCCUGGAAUGUUUGGAGGAGACAGAAUGAGAACAAAGGAAGGCAGAGGGACAGUGUGCAAGAGACACCGCCACCGCCGCAGAGGGGACCAGAUGCCAUGCAAAGCUGCAAAAGAGAUGGCGUCCUGCAGAGAAAGAGCAGGAAUCUUUCUAGGUCCCCGUUCGAAAACACCAGCCCAAGCAUGCCAAGAUACAUCCCAGAACAUAUGCAUCCCAAGCCGGGGGCCCUUGGUUAAAAUGGAAAGUUGCAAGCAGAAACAAAGACGGCAUGCCACAGAGGUAUUGAGACAAGUCUGUCUGUGGAACAGUAGGCUGCAGAAAAGCAAGUCAUGGUAUCAAAGGUCUCCUGUGAUCUCAUAUGUUACUGGACAUGCCUCGCAUACGUGUUCUACAAGUAAAUGUAGUGUCUGCACACACACACACACACACACACACAUUUGGAAGCAGAGAACUGAACAUUCUGAAUUGCCUAUGCUAGUGUAAACAACCCCUUACCCAUGCUCAUGUAGGCAAAUCUAGUUAAACUUGAUGGGUCACCAAAACAAACAGACACCAAGCACGAAGGUAGGAGAGGGGGGCUGGGAAGGUGACUCAGUUAAUAAGGGACUUGAUAUGUAAGGUCCAGCAUUCAGAAUGCUAGCACCACAGUGAAAGCCAGGCAUGACAUCCCGUGUCCAUCACACCAGUGCUUUGGCACAGAGACAGGCAGAUCCCAUGGGGUCUGUGGAAAGACGGUCUAGUCCAAACAGGGAACUCCAGAUUCAGUAAGAGACACUGGAAAAGUGAGAGGGAAAGCAACUGAGGAAGACAUCAU